rnacentral:rRNA from 1 species
AUAUCAAUAAGCGGAGGAAAAGAAACCAACAGGGAUUGCCUUAGUAACGGCGAGUGAAGCGGCAACAGCUCAAAUUUGAAAUCUGGCCCCAGGCCCGAAUUGUAAUUUGUAGAGGAUGCUUUUGGUGCGGUACCUUCCGAGUUCCCUGGAACGGGACGCCUUAGAGGGUGAGAGCCCCGUACGGUUGGAUGCCUAGCCUCUGUAAAGCUCCUUCGACGAGUCGAGUAGUUUGGGAAUGCUGCUCUAAAUGGGAGGUAAAUUUCUUCUAAAGCUAAAUACCGGCCAGAGACCGAUAGCGCACAAGUAGAGUGAUCGAAAGAUGAAAAGCACUUUGAAAAGAGGGUUAAAUAGUACGUGAAAUUGUUGAAAGGGAAGCGCUUAUGACCAGACUUUUGCCCUGCGGAUCAUCUGGUGUUCUCACCGGUGCACUUCGCUUGGUUUAGGCCAGCGUCGAUUUUAGUAGGGGGAUAAAGGCUGGGGAAACGUAGCUCUUCCGGGAGUGUUAUAGUCCCCUGCGUAAUACCCUUACCGGGAUCGAGGUUCGCGCUCUGCAAGGACGCUGGCAUAAUGGUCAUCAGUGA